rnacentral:rRNA from 1 species
CAGCAGCCGCCGCGGGAAAACGUAGGUGGCAAGCGUUGUCCGGAAUUAUUGGGCGUAAAGGGCUCGCAGGCGGUUUCUUAAGUCUGAUGUGAAAGCCCCCGGCUCAACCGGGGAGGGUCAUUGGAAACUGGGAAACUUGAGUGCAGAAGAGGAGAAUGGAAUUCCACGUGUAGCGGUGAAAUGCGUAGAGAUGUGGAGGAACACCAGUGGCGAAGGCGACUCUCUGGUCUGUAACUGACGCUGAGGAGCGAAAGCGUGGGGAGCGAACAGGAUUAGAUACCCCAGUAGUCCCUGUCUCUUAUAA